GCCCCAGUGGCCUAAUGGAUAAGGCACUGAUCUCAUAUGCCAGGGAUUGUGGGUUCGAGUCCCAUCUGGGGUG
rfam:Danio rerio chromosome 22, GRCz11 reference primary assembly.